rnacentral:rRNA from 1 species
UAAAGGGGGCGUUCCUUCCGGAGCCCCGCGCGCAAAUAGGAAUAUGUCCUAUUAGGUUGUUGGUGGGGUAAAGGCCUACCAAGCCGUUGAUGGGUAGCUGGACUGAGAGGUCGACCAGCCGCAAUGGGAUUGAAAUAUGGCCCAUAUUCCUACGGGAAGCAGCAGUGAGGAAUUUUUCACAAUGGACGAAAGUCUGAUGGAGCAAUACCACGUGAACGAUGAAGGUCUUCUGAUUGUAAAGUUCUUUUAUUUAGGAAAAAAAGCUGGGCAGGAAAUGGCCCAGCCUUGAUCGUACUAAAUGAAUAAGUGACAGCUAACUAUGUGCCAGCAGCUGCGGUAAAACAUAGGUCACGAGCAUUAUCCGGAUUU